rnacentral:rRNA from 1 species
CCCUAGUAACGGCGAGUGAAGCGGCAACAGCUCAAAUUUGAAAUCUGGCCUCGGCCCGAGUUGUAAUUUGUAGAGGAAGCUUUUGGCACGGCACCUGCUGAGUCCCCUGGAACGGGGCGCCAUAGAGGGUGAGAGCCCCGUAUAGCAGGACGCCUAGCCUCUGUAAAGCUCCUUCGACGAGUCGAGUAGUUUGGGAAUGCUGCUCAAAAUGGGAGGUAAAUUUCUUCUAAAGCUAAAUACCGGCCAGAGACCGAUAGCGCACAAGUAGAGUGAUCGAAAGAUGAAAAGCACUUUGAAAAGAGGGUUAAAUAGCACGUGAAAUUGUUGAAAGGGAAGCGCUUGUGACCAGACUUGCGCCGGGCUGAUCAUCCGAGGUUCUCCUCGGUGCACUCUGCCCGGCUCAGGCCAGCAUCGGUUCUCGCGGGGGGAUAAAGGCCCUGGGAACGUAGCUCCUCCGGGAGUGUUAUAGCCCGGGGUGUAAUGCCCUCGCGGGGACCGAGGACCGCGCUUCGGCAAGGAUGCUGGCGUAAUGGUCAUCAGCGACCCGUCUUGAAACACGGACCAAGGAGUCAAGGUUUUGCGCGAGUGUUUGGGUGUCAAACCCGCACGCGUAAUGAAAGUGAACGUAGGUGAGAGCUUCGGCGCAUCAUCGACCGAUCCUGAUGUAUUCGGAUGGAUUUGAGUAGGAGCGUUAAGCCUUGGACCCGAAAGAUGGUGAACUAUGCUUGGAUAGGGUGAAGCCAGAGGAAACUCUGGUGGAGGCUCGCAGCGGUUCUGACGUGCAAAUCGAUCGUCAAAUCUGAGCAUGGGGGCGAAAGACUAAUCGAACCAUCUAGUAGCUGGUUACCGCCGAAGUUUCCCUCAGGAUAGCAGUGUUGUUCUUCAGUUUUAUGAGGUAAAGCGAAUGAUUAGGGACUCGGGGGCGCUUUUUAGCCUUCAUCCAUUCUCAAACUUUAAAUAUGUAAGAAGCCCUUGUUACUUAGUUGAACGUGGGCAU